rnacentral:rRNA from 1 species
CAGUAGCCGCGGUAAAACGGAGGGUGCAAGCGUUGUCCGGAUUUAUUGGGUUUAAAGGGUGCGUAGGCGGCCUAAUAAGUCAGUGGUGAAAGCCUCCAGCUUAACUGGAGAACUGCCAUUGAUACUGUUAGGCUUGAGUAUACUUGAGGUAGGCGGAAUUGACAGUGUAGCGGUGAAAUGCAUAGAUAUUGUCAAGAACACCAAUUGCGAAGGCAGCUUACUAAAUUAUAACUGACGCUGAGGCACGAAAGUGUGGGUAUCAAACAGGAUUAGAGACCCCAGUAGUCCCUGUCUCUUAUAC